UGAGAUUAAAGAUUCUUACAACUGUCAGUCAAAAUAGAUAUUAAUAUAUGAAAACAAAGGUUAUUUCUAGCAUAACAUCUUUUGCGCUACUACAUCUGUUGUUCAACGUACAAACAAUUCACAAAUCCCGGCCACCAAUUUUUGGCCCCUCUAAUAAAAUCCCAGCCACCAAUUUUUGACCACUACUACUCAGUUUCCUGAAUCAUUUGAUUCUACCCAGCCACCAAUUUUUGGCCACUAUAACACUUUUAAUACAAUAAGACACUCAAAUACUCAUUAUAGCAAAAGUAACUUUUACAAUUAAACUU
rnacentral:lncRNA from 1 species